AGUUCUGCAUCAUCUUCUGCAGCUGCAGAUAAGACAAAGGUGUUAUGUCAACUCUACUUCGCACAAUAAAUAAUUGCUCAGCACUCAUAUGUACCGAAUGGUAGAAGUGAGUGCCCAAACAUCCAGUUAAUUUAAUUAAAGGUACAGAAUAAAGAGCAUUUAGUGAUCAUAUGAUUUGUCUACACUUCUUUAACCAUUUACCAAAAAACAUCUCCAUGUUCAUAGUUAUGAACAUGCAGUUUUGAAUGAUAUUAAAAGGUGAUACAACAUGUGCAGAAAACUUUACAAGAGGUAAAUUAUUUCAGCCAUGGCCAGAAUAAACUAAAAAGGUAAUUUGAUGCAUGAAGAUUUGGAGAUUUAACAUUUUAUAUAUUCCCACUGCAUGGCAUGCGUAAUGAAUAUAAAGUAUAAACCCUCAUAAAGUCCCAUCUUUUGCUGCUUCUGUAGGGCAGUUUUCUGAAGAGGGAGUGGGAGAAGGAAUAGCGGCAGCAAAAGGGCUAUUUUUCUUCUAUUAUAAAAUAUUUGUUCACAUGUGUGAGUGUGUUAUUGUGUGUGUAUCAGGAAGGGAGGUAGGUAAGCAAGUAGAAGCAAUGAAAAGAA
rnacentral:misc_RNA from 1 species